ACGGAGGGGGCUAGCGUUGUUCGGAAUUACUGGGCGUAAAGCGCACGUAGGCGGCUUUGUAAGUUAGAGGUGAAAGCCCGGGGCUCAACUCCGGAAUUGCCUUUAAGACUGCAUCGCUUGAAUUGUGGAGAGGUAAGCGGAAUAUGUCAUGUAGCGGUGAAAUGCUUAGAUAUGACAUAGAACACCAAUUGCGUAGGCAGCUUACUACACGAUCAUUGACGCUGAGGCACGAAAGCGUGGGGAGCAAACAGGA
rnacentral:rRNA from 1 species